rnacentral:tRNA from 1 species
GAAGGUAUAGCUUAAAUGGUAGAGUGUAUGCUUGGCAUGCACAAGGUCCUGAGUUCAAUCCCCAGUACCUUCA